CGGUUUAAGGCUCCCACUGAAGAUGCCCUAAGUGAGUUCUUAGUAUAUUCUCUUUUAUGCCGAGCCACUAAAAUGCUAAUCCAUGGAGGUAAACUGAAUUUGUUUGUAGCAAUCCUUGCAAAGGAAGUUGUCAACAAAAGCUGAGUACUAAACAGCUAUGGAGUAGUUUAUUGCCUCUUAUUCAUUCAUAGUUCCUCCUCGUCAGCACAUAACACAAAUCUGAUACAUUCUUCCAGCUAAUACUAACCGCCCACGCUCAUGGACGUGCAUAAGAUGGGAUUGCGGCCGCCGGAGGUCGUAUGCAGUGGGCUUUGCAGUCGCCCAUCGUCCUAAAGCAAUGGUUAUCGGGGUAACACAAAAAGCACGACGGGAGGGUGUCACUCUUGUAGCACGUAUCGUCGUCGAUGUCAUGCGCGCCUGUGCAAAUGUUAAGAAGAAAAAAUACACAAUCAAUAUCAGGACAUGCGACCAUGAAAUGCGAUUACAUGGUAGGGUUCAAGUUGAAAUGAAGCAAUGAACCGAAUGAAAGCACAAGAACAAAGGUGUCGCGUUUGUGCCACUUACAUUGUGCAUGAACAGCAUAGCAUACGAGAAGGAGCAAUAGUGCCUGGACGUGCUUCUCCAUGUAUGUACAAGAUGAUUGUGGCUUCAACACUUCUUGGAGGAUUGGUUUUGACCGAAAUUACAGAAUGCUUGCGUUGCAUAU
rnacentral:lncRNA from 1 species